rnacentral:misc_RNA from 1 species
AAGUCGUAACAAGGUUUCCGUAGGUGAACCUGCGGAAGGAUCAUUAUUGAAUUUAAUGAGGGGAUAUCUGGUUGUAGCUGGCUCAUGAAUUUGGGCAUGUGCACACCUAUCUCUUUCAUCCACACACACCUGUGCACUUGUGAGGCAGAUGGGGAAUUUAUUGAUUGUUUUUUAAGAACAAUUGGUGCUGGACCCUCUGUCUACUCAAUAUAUAAACUCAAUUUAUUUAGAAAUGAAUGUAAUGGAUGUAACGCAUCUAAUACUAAGUUUCAACAACGGAUCUCUUGGCUCUC